AACGAACGCUGGCGGCAGGCCUAACACAUGCAAGUCGAACGCCGUAGCAAUACGGAGUGGCAGACGGGUGAGUAACACGUGGGAACGUACCUUUCGGUUCGGAAUAACUCAGGGAAACUUGAGCUAAUACCGGAUACGUGCGAGAGCAGAAAGAUUUAUCGCCGAAAGAUCGGCCCGCGUCCGAUUAGCUAGUUGGUGAGGUAAUGGCUCACCAAGGCGACGAUCGGUAGCUGGUCUGAGAGGAUGAUCAGCCACACUGGGACUGAGACACGGCCCAGACUCCUACGGGAGGCAGCAGUGGGGAAUAUUGGACAAUGGGCGAAAGCCUGAUCCAGCCAUGCCGCGUGAGUGAUGAAGGCCUUAGGGUUGUAAAGCUCUUUCGCCAGGGACGAUAAUGACGGUACCUGGAUAAGAAGCCCCGGCUAACUUCGUG
rnacentral:rRNA from 1 species